CCUACGGGUGGCAGCAGUGAGGAAUAUUGGUCAAUGGGCGUAAGCCUGAACCAGCCAAGUCGCGUGAGGGAUGAAGGUUCUAUGGAUCGUAAACCUCUUUUAUAAGGGAAUAAAGUGUGGGACGUGUCCUGUUUUGUAUGUACCUUAUGAAUAAGGAUCGGCUAACUCCGUGCCAGCAGCCGCGGUAAUACGGAGGAUCCGAGCGUUAUCCGGAUUUAUUGGGUUUAAAGGGUGCGUAGGCGGCCUUUUAAGUCAGCUGUGAAAGUCUGUGGCUCAACCAUAGAAUGGCCGUUGAAACUGGGAGGCUUGAGUGUGUUUGAGGCAGGCGGAAUGCGAGGUGUAGGGGUGAAAUGCUUAGAUAUCACGCAGAACCCCGAUGGCGAAGGCAGCCUGCCAAGCCAUGACUGACGCUGAUGCACGAAAGCGUGGGGAUCAAACAGGAUUAGAUACCCUAGUAGUC
rnacentral:rRNA from 1 species